AAGGGAGACCUAAUUCCGGUAGGAGACGAAAAAAAAGUAGUCCCUACCAAGAAUCAAUCCCAAAAGGUCGAAGCGAGGCAAGAUUGGCUUUCAAACUAGGUUCUGGGUUCAAACAAGACCUGAAUCAGGAACAAGGGCUAUUAGCUCAGGUGGUUAGAGCGCACCCCUGAUAAGGGUGAGGUCCCUGGUUCGAGCCCAGGAUGGCCCACCUGCACAGGUGGCAAAAACAAAGAAGCGAGGAAUCAGCACCUUAUCUUACUCAUAUAGUAAGAGAGAAUGCUGGCUCUGAGUAAAGAGUCCAGAGGAACCUUGAAAACUGCAUAGAGCUAGGUGAAAAAGCCAAAAAAGAAGACCGCAA
rnacentral:tRNA from 1 species